UUCUAUGAACUUACUAUCGUUUGGAUACAAACAGCAAUCACAAUGGCCUUAUCAUGCACAUCCUUAUAUCUCUCCAGUGGUUAAGAAUGGAGCUCUAUUGAGACUACGAUAGAGACAGGACACACACUCAGCUGGUUGUAAAGCACGGUUUAGAAAUGUAGAACAUGAAACAUUUUUAGCAAUUCGCUACGAAAAUUAUAAACUUUCAGUUUCAACAGACAUUGAUAAUAAAGCUGGCUAGAAGCCAUGCUUUUCAGCAGAAGGUGUGCGAUUUCUGACAAAAUGGCAGAAGACAUGGGACCUCACUGGUGUGAUUCACAGCUUGGCGCAACAUGUUUGUCCCAAAAAAGAUAACUAAUGAAA